rnacentral:misc_RNA from 1 species
AAAGUCGUAACAAGGUUUCCGUAGGUGAACCUGCGGAAGGAUCAUUACAGUAGUCACCCGGGGCGCCGCAAGGCCUCCCGGGUAACCUACCACCCUUUGUUUAUUACACUUUGUUGCUUUGGCAGGCCUGCCCUCGGGCUGCUGGCUCCGGCCGGCGAGCGCUUGCCAGAGGACCUAAACUCUGUUUGUCUAUACUGUCUGAGUACUAUAUAAUAGUUAAAACUUUCAACAACGGAUCUCUUGGUUCUG